rnacentral:rRNA from 1 species
GAUUAAGCCAUGCAUGUGUAAGUAUAAAUAGUUAACUUUGAAACUGCGAAUGGCUCAUUAUAUCAGUUAUAGUUUAUUUGAUGAAGAAUACUAAUUGGAUAACCGUAGUAAUUCUAGAGCUAAUACAUGUAUAAAGUCUUGUAGACUGCAUUUAUUAGAAUGAAAACCAUAGGUUUCGGCCUAUUCGUGAGUAAUAAUAACUAAUCAUAUCGUAUGCUUAUGUAACGAUGUGUCUUUCAAGUUUCUGCCCUAUCAUCUUUCGAUGGUAGUGUAUUGGACUACCAUG